rnacentral:rRNA from 1 species
UACGUAGGGUGCGAGCGUUAAUCGGAAUUACUGGGCGUAAAGCGUGCGCAGGCGGUCUGUUAAGUCAGAUGUGAAAUCCCCGGGCUUAACCUGGGAACUGCAUUGGUGACUGCAGCGCUGGAGUAUGGCAGAGGGGGGUGGAAUUCCACGUGUAGCAGUGAAAUGCGUAGAGAUGUGGAGGAACACCGAUGGCGAAGGCAGCCCCCUGGGCCAAUACUGACGCUCAUGCACGAAAGCGUGGGGAGCAAACAGG